AUUUAAUUUCGGUUCGGAAUGGAGGUGUUUAAAAUCCUGCAGCAAAGUGGCUAUAAACUACUUUUCAAUUUGUAUUAUAUCUUGAACUUCUAAAGUUGUGUUUUGUCGAUGUGAAAUACGACGAAUGACUGAAAGUGUGUAGAGUCAAACGAGUUCCAAGAAUCAAAAUUCGUUUGGAAAUGUAGCAGAGAAAAGCUCAACUUUGGUACUUGAUUGUAAACUACCGUGCCAGAAGCAACCACUAAAAAUGAAAUCACAUAUUCGUGAUGGGACACGUGGCAAAUGUGAAGCAACAAGCAUCACAUUUGCAAACAACAAGAAUUGCUGGCCCGGCAGCCAUCUUUGUUCGCAUGCUAGCCGUGAUAAUAACGACGCCACUAUAGAAGCCUUUUGCCAUUCACUGCCGUUCUAACACUCGUCAGUAGGGGGAAAGAAAAGAGGAUCGAUCGAUUUAGAGUUUUUUUCCACUCUCGUCUUUUCUUCUUUUCGCGAUGUUGCUUGUUUUUUUUUUGAGCUUUUUCUAAAGCUUUCUAGAGAUCCAUUUGAUAACUUUAAACAACACCGCUCGCAAGAUGGAGUUAAUCGUGCGAAAGGAAAAUGCACUCAAAACAAGUUGUUUCACCAUUGUUUUCGGAAUUCUUUUUGUUUGUUUCCAAGAAAUUGAUAUGCGGUCGAUUUGAAUGACGAUUUUAUAAAGACAAUCUCUUUUCUACUCCACUUUUUUUUUCCCUUGCUUGAAAAGUAAGACAAAUCUACGCAAUUUCCAGUCUAACUGUAUCGUUAAUGUAUAUCUUACUUUUCUGAGCUCAAAAAUAUUGCAACUACUAAAUCAAUUGUAAUUGAAACGUGUUGAUACGGUAGGAUGUAAUGGCGUCCAUACGAUCAAACAUUGCGAAAGAAUUCGUCUUUUAUUGCCUUUUGUUUCCGGCUUAGAUUUGAGCAGAACUAUCAUCCUUUUAUGGCACUUUUUAUGAUUUUUUCUUAAUCGACGUGACAAACUGCCGAAUAAGCGAGUUGUGCUGAGAAGAAACUUUUACGUUGGUACAAAUGAAAGACAUUUUUAGUAUCACGUCUUCUCGCAAUAUGUUUUCAUCAUUUGGCGGGCUAUAGACAGGAAGUAGGAAUCCUUGACAAAUGCGUUGGAAUGUAACUUUCAAGCGUCAUCUUUCUUGAUAAAUUACAGCCAGAAGUUGGUCCUUUUCUCUUUGUUAACGUUCACUUUAUGGAGGUGGUAUAAAAGAAGAACACUUUAAUUUUAUUUUUUUUUUAUUAAGCCGUGGAUCUCUGUGGAUAUUGUGUCCUCAGUAAAUAGGAUAUUAUUCGAAAAGUUUGUGUACGAAAAUCGAUUCCUAAAGUGACAAAGUUUUAACGCUGCUUUUGUUUGAAUUUCUCUUUUGUGGAUGAUGUAUUUGCCUGAUCUGGGUUCAGAUGUGCAUCGAUCUGUGAUUCAGCAUCACCGUAAAAUCGGCGCCUUCUUUUGUAAUUUUAUUUUUCUACAGUCAGGAUCAUUAGUGGAUUUGCAUUCUGUUUUAAAGGUGUCUCUUCCUACGUGAGUUCAUGUUAGCCAGUAAGUUCAAACGAUUUUUGCUCACAAUAGGAUGGUUUAUUCAUUAUGAAAGAUCUCCUACCAUUUGAUAAUUUUUGUUUUAAAGGAAAAGAAAUGAAGGCACGAGAGAUGUCGCUUUUUUGUCUGUUAAUAUGCAUGAAGGGACUAAUAAAAACUUGCGUCAUACGGUGUCUAUAGGAGUUAGUAUCGAAAUAAACUUGUCUUGUGUUCGUCAAAUGAGUGUAGGCUGGAAUUUUACCAUUGACUAUUCAUGUAGCACUCAGUUUGCCGCGUCUGGACGUGCACAGUCGUGACACGAGACUUUUUAAUGAGUCGCUUCGGGACCUAUUUUCUUUUUCUCUUUGUAAAGCACAAAAAGAAAUUUUUCUUUAAUCUGUGGCGGCUGCUUGUUUUGUUGGAUUCUUUGUUGGUUUUUUUUUACAAGAACCGGAUAGCGAUACGAGAAAAUGGCCCUUUUUAAAAAUCAAUUUCUUUUUUUUAAUCUACCGGAGAAAGUAUUCGAUUUUGAACGACGGAUGAACGUCAACAGACAAAGCUUGCCUUUAUCGCCCAACGGACAAUCAUAAAGUCCAACAUUUAUUUUUUUCCCUAUCGAUUUCAUCCAAAUUUUACAAGCAAAUGUCCAAUCUUUCCAUAUCGCAACAUAUUCUUCUUUGUUCGUGUAAUUGUGCAAGCCGUGAAUAGCGAGGAGAGGCACGACAUUAACACCAUCGAAAAUGGAAAAAAAAAGAACGUAGUUACAAAUGAAUCAGAAUUUCUUAAAAUGGAGCGACAGGGAGAAAAUGUUAUUUUCGAUCUAUAUGACGAACAAUAACAGCCUGGAUUUGUCAUCACCGCCUUGGGUGGAUGAAACAUUUUCACGAGCAGCCACGUCUAGACGAAGCAUUAGCAAUAGCCCAAUGAAAUCGAUAUUAUCCAUCGUCACGACGUUGAUUAAUUUCUUUUACGUCGAUCUCUAAAAAGAUAAAAUAAAAAUGCGUACCGUUC